rnacentral:piRNA from 1 species
UGCCUCACAGUGGACUCUCCACGAAC